rnacentral:rRNA from 1 species
GAUGAACGCUGGCGGCGUGCCUAAUACAUGCAAGUCGAGCGAACGGACGAGAAGCUUGCUUCUCUGAUGUUAGCGGCGGACGGGUGAGUAACACGUGGAUAACCUACCUAUAAGACUGGGAUAACUUCGGGAAACCGGAGCUAAUACCGGAUAAUAUUUUGAACCGCAUGGUUCAAAAGUGAAAGACGGUCUUGCUGUCACUUAUAGAUGGAUCCGCGCUGCAUUAGCUAGUUGGUAAGGUAACGGCUUACCAAGGCAACGAUGCAUAGCCGACCUGAGAGGGUGAUCGGCCACACUGGAACUGAGACACGGUCCAGACUCCUACGGGAGGCAGCAGUAGGGAAUCUUCCGCAAAGGGCGAAAGCCUGACGGAGCAACGCCGCGUGAGUGAUGAAGGUCUUCGGAUCGUGAAACUCUGUUAUUAGGGAAGAACAUAUGUGUAAGUAACUGUGCACAUCUUGACGGUACCUAAUCAGAAAGCCACGGCUAACUACGUG